rnacentral:tRNA from 1 species
GGUAAAGAUGGCCGAGCGUUUAGGCGGUGGGCUGUAGACCCAUAGACAGGGGUUAAAAUCCUCUUCUUAUCA